rnacentral:pre_miRNA from 1 species
AGUGGGAUAACUGGGUCAAAUGGUGGUUCCAUUCCAAGUUUUAUGAGAAAUCUCCAUACUUCUUUCCAGAGUGGCUGCACCAAUUUGCAGUCCCAUCAGCAAU